AUCCAUCUGAAGAGUUUCAAAUAGGACAAAACGCGCGUUCUGGAU
rfam:Schistosoma curassoni strain Dakar, Senegal genome assembly, scaffold: SCTD_scaffold0001087